GAUGAACGCUAGCGGCAGGCCUAACACAUGCAAGUCGAGGGGUAACUAGAGUGAUAGCAAUAUUACUUUGGCUAGACCGGCGCACGGGUGCGUAACACGUAUGCAACCUACCUUAUACUGGGGAAUAACUUCGAGAAAUCGGCGCUAAUACCCCAUAACAUUGCGAAGAGGCAUCUCUUUGCAAUUAAAGCUCCGGCGGUAUAAGAUGGGCAUGCGUCCAAUUAGCUAGUUGGUGAGGUAACGGCUCACCAAGGCUACGAUUGGUAGGGGUUCUGAGAGGAUGAUCCCCCACACUGGUACUGAGACACGGAACAGACGCCUACGGGAGGCAGCAGUGAGGAAUAUUGCGCAAUGGACGAAAGUCUGACGCAGCCAUGCCGCGUGCAGGAUGACGGCCCUAUGGGUUGUAAACUGCUUUUGUACGGGAAUAAACCCUUCUACGUGUAGGAGGCUGAAGGUACCGUAAGAAUAAGCACCGACUAACUCCGUGCCAGCAGCCGCGGUAAGAC
rnacentral:rRNA from 1 species